CAACGCCCCUAGCGGUGGCCAGCGGUACGACGUUUCCAUACGCUGCAUCGUGAAAUGCGCAGUUUACUGCGAUUUAUACAUUAGCAGUUGAGCUGUAACAUAUUAUAAUGUAAAUUACAAAUCACUUUUUAAAGUGACUCCACGUUAACGGCGGGAGCUAUUUGCACAGUGACGAACAAGCGACAACAUUAAUCACAUCAAGGUAGCAGGAUCGACCAGUCGAAGGGUCAGUGUGGAACUGAUAACAACUUGAGAAAACCUGCGUGGAAAACAGCACAGGAGAGGACAAAAUCCCUAACAUCUGUGAGGGGGGAACCAGAAGUAAGGGGGAGGAAGCGGACAGUGGAACCGCGAGUUCUCCUACGCACACAGUGAUGACCAUGGAGAGAGCUGCCCGGAUAGCCAGCCCAUCGGUGCUGAUCAGGAAGUGCAGUGUUGUCAG